GACCUCAGAUGAGGCAAGAGGACCCGCUGAAUUUAAGCAUAUUAAUAAGCGGAGGAAAAGAAACUAACAAGGAUUCCCCUAGUAACGGCGAGUGAAGCGGCAACAGCUCAAAUUUGAAAGCUGGCCUUCGGGUCCGCAUUGUAAUUUGUAGAGGAUGCUUUGGGUGAAACGCCAGUCUAAGUUCCUUGGAACAGGACGUCAUAGAGGGUGAGAAUCCCGUAUGUGACUGGAAAUGUUAACCUAUGUAAAGCUCCUUCGACGAGUCGAGUUGUUUGGGAAUGCAGCUCUAAAUGGGAGGUAAAUUUCUUCUAAAGCUAAAUAUUGGCGAGAGACCGAUAGCGCACAAGUAGAGUGAUCGAAAGAUGAAAAGCACUUUGGAAAGAGAGUUAAAAAGCACGUGAAAUUGUUGAAAGGGAAGCGCUUGCAAUCAGACUUGUUUAAACUGUUCGGCCGGUCUUCUGACCGGUUUACUCAGUUUGGACAGGCCAGCAUCAGUUUCGGCGGCCGGAUAAAGGCUCUGGGAAUGUGGCCUUCACUUCGGUGAAGGUGUUAUAGCCCAGGGUGUAAUACGGCCAGCCGGGACUGAGGUCCGCGCUUCGGCUAGGAUGCUGGCGUAAUGGUUGUAAGCGACCCGUCUUGAAACACGGACCAAGGAGUCUAACAUCUAUGCGAGUGUUCGGGUGUCAAACCCCUGCGCGUAAUGAAAGUGAACGGAGGUGGGAACCGCAAGGUGCACCAUCGACCGAUCCUGAUGUCUUCGGAUGGAUUUGAGUAAGAGCAUAGCUGUUGGGACCCGAAAGAUGGUGAACUAU
rnacentral:rRNA from 1 species